rnacentral:tRNA from 1 species
UGGGGUAUCGCCAAGCGGUAAGGCACCGGUUUUUGAUACCGGCAUUCCCUGGUUCGAAUCCAGGUACCCUAGCCA